GGGGGCAUAGCUCAGUGGGAGAGCAGCAGACUGAAGUACUCGUGGGUGAAACUGUUCGUGUUCUGAAGGUCCCGUGUUCAAUCCACGGUGCCCCCA